GGUUUCUUACUUGCUGAGGAAAAAUACAAUGGUUGGAUACUUGAGCAUUGCGCAUUAUUAAUGUUUCUCCUGCACAUUUAAAACUAUGAUAAAAAUAAACGCGUAGAAUUGGACCAUAUGAGAUAUAAUUAUAUCGUCAUGACCAUAUGGUACAAAUACUCAUAUAGGUCUGAACAUAUAUAACAAGGUCUGCAUAGAUCGAAUAAUGCCAGCGCAUUGUAUUACUG
rnacentral:lncRNA from 1 species